UCCAGCUCCAAUAGCGUAUAUUAAAGUUGUUGCAGUUAAAAAGCUCGUAGUUGGAUUUCGGAAGGUCCUUAGCAAUCCGCCCCUUCGGGGAGCGGGUUGCUGGCCUCCUAUGUUCCUAACGGUCCUCAUCCGCGAGGGUGGGGAAUCAACCGCUAGGAUCGUUUACUUUGAGGAAAUUAGAGUGUUCAAAGCAGGCGUAACUCGCCUCCGAAUACGUUAGCAUGGGAUAAUGGAAUACGACUUCGGUCUUGUUUCGUUGGUUUCGCUUGGCUGAAGUAAUGAUUGAUAGGGACAGUUGGGGGCAUUAGUAUUUAGUUGUCAGAGGUGAAAUUCUAGGAUUUACUAAAGACUGACCAAUGCGAAAGCAUUUGCCAAGGAUGUUUUCAUUAAUCAAGAACGAAAGUAGGGGGAUCGAAGACGAUCAGAUACCGUCGUAGUCUCUACCGUAAACUAUGCCGACCAGGGAUCCGGAGAGUUUGCAUGGAUGACUCCCCGGGCACCUUGUGAGAAAUCAUAAGUGUUUGGGUUUUGGGGGGAGUAUGGUCGCAAGGCUGAAACUAAAGGAAUGACGAACGCCCAUACAAUUC
rnacentral:rRNA from 1 species